rnacentral:rRNA from 1 species
CCUACGGGUGACAGCAGUGGGGAAUAUUGCACAAUGGGGGAAACCCUGAUGCAGCGACGCCGCGUGAGUGAAGAAGUAUUUCGGUACGUAAAGCUCUAUCAGCAGGGAAGAAAAUGACGGUACCUGACUAAGAAGCCCCGGCUAACUACGUGCCAGCAGCCGCGGUAAUACGUAGGGGGCAAGCGUUAUCCGGAUUUACUGGGUGUAAAGGGAGCGUAGACGGCAGCGCAAGUCUGGAGUGAAAUCCCAUGGCUUAACCAUGGAACUGCUUUGGAAACUGUGCAGCUAGAGUGCAGGAGAGGUAAGCGGAAUUCCUAGUGUAGCGGUGAAAUGCGUAGAUAUUAGGAGGAACACCAGUGGCGAAGGCGGCUUACUGGACUGUAACUGACGUUGAGGCUCGAAAGCGUGGGGAGCAAACAGGAUUAGAUACCCCGGUAGAC